rnacentral:rRNA from 1 species
UACGGGGGGAGCAAGCGUUGUUCGGAUUUACUGGGCGUAAAGGGCGCGUAGGCGGCCACCGCAAGUCAGUUGUGAAAGCUCUGGGCUUAACCCAGAAAGGUCAACUGAUACUGCGGGGCUAGAGUGCAGAAGGGGCAACUGGAAUUCUCGGUGUAGCGGUGAAAUGCGUAGAUAUCGAGAGGAACACCUGCGGCGAAGGCGGGUUGCUGGGCUGACACUGACGCUGAAGUGCGAAAGCUAGGGGAGCAAACAGG